AUUGAACGCUGGCGGCAUGCCUUACACAUGCAAGUCGAACGGUAACGGGCCUUCGGGUGCCGACGAGUGGCGAACGGGUGAGUAAUACAUCGGAACGUGCCCGAUCGUGGGGGAUAACGAGGCGAAAGCUUUGCUAAUACCGCAUACGAUCUACGGAUGAAAGCAGGGGAUCGCAAGGCCUUGCGCGGACGGAGCGGCCGAUGGCAGAUUAGGUAGUUGGUGGGAUAAAAGCUUACCAAGCCGACGAUCUGUAGCUGGUCUGAGAGGAUGAUCAGCCACACUGGGACUGAGACACGGCCCAGACUCCUACGGGAGGCAGCAGUGGGGAAUUUUGGACAAUGGGCGCAAGCCUGAUCCAGCCAUGCCGCGUGCAGGAUGAAGGCCUUCGGGUUGUAAACUGCUUUUGUACGGAACGAAAAGCCUUCUUUUAAUACAGGAGGGUCAUGACGGUACCGUAAGAAUAAGCACCGGCUAACUACGUG
rnacentral:rRNA from 1 species